CAGGUGCAUAUACAAGAAUUGUCAAAUGGAAAUAUUGGUACAAGGACUUCAGAAAAUCCCAUUGUAGAAGACUACCACCAAAGAGAAAAUGAGGUUAUGCAACAACAUGCUACCAAUGCAAUGGCUGAUCUUCUAGAAAAUGAAACAUCAGAAAACAUCCCACAAAGGGCAGCUGAGACUGAGAUUCUGGACAUUGAGCAACUAUUUCAGGCUGAUAGCUUCGAAAAUGAACUGAUUGCAGCUGGCCAAUCACAGUUUCAAUUAUCAGAAUGGACUACUCAUCCAUCAACGCCUCCACCACUACCUUUCUCAUAUGUAAAUGCUGACACACCAACAGUAAGUGUACUGCUGGAACAAAGAUACGAAGACCCUUUCCUGGCUGGACGCCUCCCUGGGAGAACAGGAAGAAGCACUCCAAUGACUUGUAACCUGACCUCUGAUUGAACAACCUAAGAUACAAGAGAGCUGCUGUGGAUGUACUGUUUUUUAGGUAAGGAAAAUAAUUGCUAUCAUACGCUUCAUUCAGUAUUUUACUAAAAUAUUCUUUUCCAAGCAUGGAAAUCUUUAAAGACUGAAAAGCAUAUAUAUUUUUUUUAUUAAGCCUCUUUUUAAAAAAAAAUUGCAGACAGCUAAUGUGUUGUAGCUAGAUGUGGUGGUCUU